rnacentral:rRNA from 1 species
AUGAUAUGCUUCUUCGCAGUUGAGUGGCACUUCAUAGAUCGUGUGGCAAGACAAUUUGGAAGAAGACAAGAUAUUCCAAUUGAGGAGAGCAAGGAGGAAAUGCUAUCUCUGCAUCGGUUCGAUCGAAGGAACAAUCAGGAUAUAUCGGAUUGGGCAAACAAACACCGUGCAUGGAUAGAAUUUUGGAAUCAAAGAGACACACUAGUGCAAUCAGAGAAUAGACCUCACAAUCAGUCAGCAUAUCAGAAGUAUCAAGUGUGGUAUGCGGAUCGUUAUCGGUUAAAGCUAAAGCCUGGUUGGACUCACGAGGAGUGGUCGGAGUUGGUGUCUGAAGACCCGGAGACUGCAGAAGGUUAUCAUACCUUCAACACGGCUGUGAGAGACACCAGAGGGGCUCACGUUGACUAUGCACCGAUGCAUGAUGAAAUGGUAGUCUGUUUGACCUAUUCUAACAAACUUGCAUGCAUCAUGUUGUCUUCUUUCAAAUACAUAAGUUUGGUUUGUUCAUGA